GUGAUAAUUUUUCACAAAUCAAAUGAAGAAUGAUUUCAAAAUACUUGUAUGAUUUUUCACUUUGGAGAAACAAAAAUUCUAGUUGAAGAUCUUUUAGCUCCAUUCAUUAUUUUCUCUUUGUUUCUGGCCGACCUGAAGAAAUCCUUUACGAUUUUAUCAUUUUUCACCUAUCGUGGCCAUGAAAAGAAAAGAGAAAAAGAGGGGUCAGGAAUCUGGUGAAGACAAUUGACUAAAUUUUCUUGUGAACUGGUGGAAGCAUAAGAAUUCCCAGAGACUACGAUGGUGGAGAGAACGAGAAAGUUCAAAAAUUGCUUGAAAACUGGGAUAAUUGAGUUCAGAGCGUAUGACUAAAUUUUCCUUAAAAUUAAUAAACAGAACAAGGAAGAUGAUAUCCUAAAGCUUCAUCACGUUUUGUUGAAAUGGAUUUUAUCAGGGAGUGUUUGGGCUGGAAGUGCUCAUAUCAUAAUUGUUGUUAUUGGUUCAAGCGUUUUAUCUUUGGCGUUCUGUAGCUCAACUUGAACUCAAAAAUUGGAGGAUGUUUAACUGGAGUUAGAAUUUGAACUAUAACUGAAAUGCAAAAAGUUUGAAGACCAUUACAAGCACUUGGAGCUAUUGCUUUUGCCAAUUCUUACUCCCUCAUCCUUAUGGAGAUUCAGGUAACGAUAUGGUGCAUUUUUCAUUCAUUCAUCGUAGUUUAAUUUGAUAUCAUAGUAAUUUCCUAUACAUUACAUGAUACAAUCGAAUCCCCACCCUAAGAAUCCAAGACAACGAAAAAUGCAACUUUUAUUAGUGCAUGAGUAACUACAAUUUGCUACAUGUGCUAUGGCUGUUUUUUCUAUGCAACAUUUGGAGUCCAUGCUCAUGAAAAUUUACUAACUGAUUUUUGAUUAUAUGAGUUGUUCUGCUUGUGUUGUUCUGUAGAAAAGGCAAUUAUGGAAUUAAAGAUGUUGCCGAUAUUUUGAAAAACAAGCUCAAGUUAUUUUUUACCCCACUUUUGUCAAUGUGAAUGAUCUAAUUCUUUAUUUUCGGGUUUUUUAGUUGCAGAAUGAACGCAAAAAUUUGAUACUUAUAAAAGUUUUAGAGGAUUCAUGAAAUGAUUUUGUAUUAUUAUGCAUAAAUUCUACAAGGGGUUAUUAAGGUUUAAGAUUUUUUUAUUUGUUCUGAUAAUUGUUGUGUUUGAGCAAGUUUGCAUGGGCCUCGUCUAAUUUUAUGGGUACUUACUACCUCUCACAAAUAUAGGCAUCAGAUUACUUUCUACCACCGAGGAUAUGAAUCGAGGUUUAAAAUUCUUGAAAAACAGAGUUUGAAUUAUCUUCUGCCUUAGAUAUGUUAGUAUGAAUCCAACCUUUUGGGCUUAUUUCAACAACAACAACAUCAAGGUUUAAGAUUCUUGAAGUUGAACACUUGCUCAUGUAUACAUUACUGAUUUUUCCUUGUUGGUUCAAGCAAAACAAAGAAAUUAUUUCAAAAGGUUAAUGAAACUAAUUAAUCUAGAGUUACUUAUAUUCUUGGAGUUUUCUAUUGAAUAGCUGCAAUAUCACAAUAAUAAACAUUAAUUGACUUGUAUAGUCCGUCAUUCAAAAUAUUGUGUGGAUAUGACUAGUUUAAUGUUUUAGAAAGUUAAUUCUAUAAAAUAUUGUGAAUGUGGGUGGUUGCUACUUGCUUAAAAAUUUUAUCGAUUUCUAUUUUUUGGUUCUCUUUGACAUAUUUUUUUCUACCUCCCAAAAUAUGUACUAACUUUACUAGGAAUUAGUAUUAUCGCACGAGCUUAUUAUCUUUUAAAAUGCGUGUGGAUAGAGUAAAAAAGUGAGGAAGACUUAGUAAUUUUAUUAUCUUAGAGCAUCUGUAUGUACAAAGCUAUAUGAGGUAUUAUGGACCUACUAAGAGAAAUAUCAUAUUUGUUACAAUAUGAUGCUUUCUCCUCAGUUUCUAUAUAGUAGUUGAGAAAAUUCUACUGAAACCACAUUUUGCACGCCACAAGAGCCUUGAUAAUCUUUUCAUAUACAAGAUAUAGGCAACACCAGAGAGCUGAGAGAAAAACACACAUAGAGAGAGAUGUAGACGAAGAAGAAUGAGGUAAGAAUAUCACAAGAUAUGCAAUGAAACAGUUUCAACAGAUAUUUCAUCACUAACUCUCCUCCUAAGGUACUAUUCCUAAUUAUUACAUUAGGAUCAGCUAUCGAUACAUAAUAAUCUACUCAUAGAGGCUAUGUUUCUCGGGCUCUCCAAAAAUGUUGUGGCACAUGUAUCGGGACCUUAAGAGUCAAAGCAUCAUAACAUUGAGGUACCUUUGCACCCAUCACUCAGUAGUUAGGAAAGUCGGGCCUGCCACUAAUAGUUCCCUUUCAACUUCUCAGGUGAAUUUUGCAGUAUCACUCGAUAGUGGGGAUCGAUUGUUUGUAACAAGGAAGAAUGAAUUACAAAGAUGAUAUGCUGAGCUAGACAAUAUCAACCUCCUUUUCGUUUAUGGUGUUCCAAGUACAACUGUCCUUGAUAAUGGGGACAGACUAAUCAUUUCAAUUCAGGGAGGAUGAAAUAACAAAAAUGAUAUUACUUUAUAACUUCAUUGGUAGAGAUUAACAGGUUAGUGUUACAUUAUAUACUAUUUUACUACAAUAGAGAUAGUGUUAAGAUUGUAUGUAUUUCUCUAUGUCGCAACGUUGUCUUUGUUUGGUUGUAACGUGUUAGAUCUUUUAUUCAUUUUUUUCUUCACAAAAUUUGUAAUCAUCAUCCUUGUGAUGUUCUUUUUGAUAUAUUGUGAAAUGUGCAAUCUAUUUUGGCUGCCUUCGAUUAACACAUCCACAUCAGGCUGCCUUCGAUCGACAGAUCAACAUCAGGUUAAAUCUAAACUUCCUGGAUUUUUAUUAUCUUCUUUUAUAACCAUUUUUACUCGACAAAAAGAUAUAUUCGUCCGUUACAGGUCAUUCUACACUCCUCUGUGCUCUGUUUGACUCCAACAAGGAUGUUUGAGUUCUGAUCCCAAUUUAGCAAGUUUUUCCUUGACUAUUUUCUACUGCAUUUUUGGGCUUCCACUUAAUCUAUAGUUUCCAAUUUAUUAACUCUUUGUUCUGUGGUAAAAGUAAGUUGUUUUAUCUCUUAAUCUUUGAAAGACUAUCAGUUUUUACAAGCGUAUAAAUAUUGUGUUACCUUCAAUGCUAGGAUAAUGGUUGCUGCUGCAGUAUUACUCGUUUGUCUCCUAUAGGCUAAAGACACUGGUGGCUAUUCUUAAGGUUCAGUACGACUAUACAUUGCCAUAUGGAAGAAGAAUCCCAUAAAGAAAUCUCUUAUGCAUUUUUAAAUGGAUCCAAGUAAAUUUGUAGGGAAAUGAAGGUGAACAAAUUUUAAGUUUAUGAUGAAGAAUUUUUGAACUAUUGUAAAAGUUUGAAUACAUUAUUUUUGAUUUUGUGAAAUAUAUUCAUUGGUGGAAUAUAUUGAACUAUUGUAAGAGAACUUUUUGAACUAUUGUGUACACAUUUAGAAUAUUGCUUUAGAAG